CCUAUUCCAUUCGCUGUCACUACGUAAUAUAGAGCCGAUAUUAUUUAAUUCAAUCGCAAUACCUUCCCACAACUCCUUCCUAUUUUUUUUUUGUGGAGCCAAACGGGGCUAUUCUCUGGCUAAGUCAGGAUUUUUCUCCAUCAACCUCACCAUCACAAUUUAUUGCUUCUGGUUGGUUCUUUUUAUUCUGAAAAUAGGUAAAUUUUUAACAAAUUAAAUACAAUAAAUAAAUUUUUAAAGUUAUGUUAACGUUUUUUCCAUUUUUAAUUUCACUCGCGAAUCAAAUAAAGGGUCGCCAAAUUUUGACAGUUGAAGUGAAGGGAAUUUCAUAAAUAAUAUAUACAUAUACAUAUAUUCAUUUUCGCUACUUCAGAAGAAUUUGGAAUUAGUGACAGCGUUAGUCUAUCUUCGAAUCAGCAUCAACACCAACAACAAUAUCAGCCUUGAAAUCCAACCCAGAAUCACUCUUGCCAACAGAUGCUAGUGUGAACUGAGUAGGUAAUUGAAAAAUUAAGUCCUCUCGCGACGAACAAAGACGAAACUCUACAAGUUUCUCAUUAUUCCCGUCUUGCUAUAUUGUGCGGAGGCGUGGACAAUUACAUUAUCUGGCGAGUCGACCUUAAGAGUGUUCGAAAGAAAAGUUUUUCAGAAUAUGUAUGUGUCGGAGCGCUUAUGCUUGUAUUUUGUAUGUCACUGUUAAUGCGUAGUGCUAAUAUUUUGUAGGUAACUGUAUGUGCCACAGCGUCGUUUGAAGUAGGCGACGCAUUGGUGGCAUAUAUUACGGUACUAUAAAAUGUAAAUGCGCAAAUAAGCAUAAUAACAGGACUAGAGAAACUGUUACUGAGUGAGGUCUGAUCGUAUUCUGCGAACAGAGUGAAGAGACUCGGGAACCGUUAGCUGUUUUUAGAGCAAUAAAGGGGUUCGUAUAUAAUUAGGCGCUAUGUCCUGGCAGAAUCAGUUCAAGAAGUGAUCUUAAUUGGGUCAGAACUUGCUGUGCUCGUAUAGUGAAGUGAAGUUAUUAGUAAAGUGUAAAUGUGUGAAGUGUAAAAGUGUGAAGUCAAGUGUUAUAGAGACAUCUACAAGCAAAUCUUCAACAUAUGGUCCUUUGCGCAUUUAAAACGGCUACCUUAGCAUAACCUAAAAAGAAAAUAAUAAGCCGCCUGUCUUAAGGAAAGUCACAAAUGAUGGAAUAGGGAAACUAGAAGCUUAAAAAAGCGAGCUAGUCGUGAAUGAAUCGAUCUGUUUUUAUUAGAUAUAAAGAGGAAAUUAUAUAAAGAAAUUUAACACAAAUUCAACCAAAAAUCAAAACAUCCUAUGGAAAGCCUAAAAACACAUUAAGCCGGUAGAUUCCAACAUGCCUAUAAAAGACUAAUAGGGCUCGAAGUGAUGACGAAAAGUCACCUACUUUGGAAACCACCUAUAGUAGGUACUUCAAUCUAAUUAGCCAAAAAUUGGCGUUCAGUUGCCAACUUUGUCCGAUACUACUACCAAGUCGCUUUUGUCUACUAAGACUUCAACUUUUGAAAAUAAACAUAUUAUAAGAGAAGUGAAUAAAAUGUCUUGGAAUUGAUUCUAUCAACUUUUUUUUAUAUGGGUCCAACGAUUUUCAGUUGUAUUAAUGUCGGGACUUUUUGGCGGUGUUGGCAGAUGUUUUGCGUUGAAAGGAAUCUAUAUUUUAACGUCUUGGGCUGAAUGUUUCGGGUCAUUGUCGAAUUGAAAAAAAAAACUAAGCUUUUUAACAUGUCCAUUUUUUCAGCCCUGGAAUGUAAAUUUUUAGUGAUAAUAUAUAAUUAAAGAUGCUUAUCUAUUCUUCCGUCUAUAAAAACAAAAUUCCAGACUCCCUGAGCUGACAUGCAGCCUUACACCAUGACGGAACCACGACCGUGCUUAACAGAUGCUUUGACGUUUUUAAUAUUUAAUUCAUCACUUAGUUACCGAAAGACCAUUCGACGACCAUCCGAUCAAAAAAUGUUAUAUAUGCUUAGAAAGUUUCCGAUAAAACCAUACACUAGUUGGUAUCAAACCCGCGGACUCACCCGUUGAAUUGUAGACGAAAGUGAAGGAGAUGAUUUCGACAAGCUGACAAACGAUGCGUAUAUGCGCGCGGAUCGUAAUUGAAAGAGGCUGGCCCGUCCCUUUUGAUGAUUGUGUUUGGUGUCCUCGGGUGUGGUGUAAAAGGUGUGGUGUUGAUGAGGAUGCGUUGAGUUGGUGUGUGUGGGAUGAAAUGAUGACGUGUUGAGUUGGUGUGUGUGCGAUGAAAAGAUGAUGUGUUGAGUAUGGUGUGUAUGUGUGGGUAAGGUGGGUCAAAACGGUUGAAUAUCAAGAUGGAUCCGACUUUGUUUUUUUUUUUAUUUGAGCUAUAGUGAGAGUGAUGGGGAUGAAAAAAUAGUGCGGAGGCAACUAAGAGAUCGGAGCAAUUCUUUGGCACUGCCGAACACAGCGUAGGUAUAUAAAAAAUAAAUCAUGAAACCUCAAUAACGAAGUUUUCUUUGCAGGUUUUUAAAACGAUUUCGUCUAACUAAAGAGGCUUUUGAAUAUGUCCUAAGUAAUAUAUGUUUAACGCAAUCUGACGUCAGAGCAGUGUCUCCAGUGCUACAAUUAGCAACCACGCUCUCACAUUUCCCUAGCGGUGGAUACCAACACAGUGUAGGCAGUGACUAUUUAAUCGGGAUUUGUCAAAGCACUGUUUCGAAGCUGACAUCCCAUGAACUUAAAGAAGUGGAAACGAAGUUGUGCCCACUGUUUAUACGGUUUACACCAGAGGAUUCCCUUACGUGUAAAGAGUGGUUUGUGCAGCAAUAUAAAAUUCCAGGAGUUAUAAGGUGCGUUGAUGGCACCCACAUCGGUUUACAAAAACCCACAGUGAACGAGCACAUGUAUGUACUUCAAUAAAAAAGGCUACCAUAGUAUCAACGCUAUGAUAAUAUGUGAUCACAUUUACAAAAUGUUGGCUAUUAACUGUCAAUACGGUGGUGCAGCCUACGACUCAUUUGUUUGGAAACACUCGGACCAGCGAAGAGUUUUGGAAGAACGAUUUCAGCACAACAGGAAUGAAAAUUUAUGACUUUUAGGGGAUUCUGGCUACCCAUUGGCACCAUGGUGCAUAACUCCUUACAGAAACGCUUCGGAGGGUGCAAGUGAAGCUAUGUUCAAUGAAAUACAUUCCAAGGCAAGAUGUAUCGUCGAACGAACUAUUGGAAUUUUAAAAGGACGCUGGAGAAUUUUAUGAUAUGGCAACAGAGGAAGGUACCAUCCGACAAAAGUGGCAAGAUUUGCUAACGUUUGUGCAGCAUUACACAACAUCUGCAUAAAAUUUAAAAUAAAUUAUGAUCCCCAGCAUUGCGAUUCUGAUCAAGCAACGGAUAUCGACACUGGGGUAGCGAACCGCCGCACCGCAAUCGGCCAAACAAUAAGGGAUCAAAUAAUAUACUCUAUAAUAAAUUGAAGAUGAAAAUGUCUAUGUAUUUACCCUUGUAAAUUUUUUUUCCCUUCUAAACUGAAAUACAAAAAUUUUGUUCAUAUAAACUCAUUAUUUUAAUUUUAAUUAGUCGUUUCAUCACGUUUGUUGGUUUUAUCACAUUUCUUAAAUAGUAAAUAAAUAAAUUUCAAAAAAAAAAUAAAGCUCUAUUAAAUUAAAAAAAUCAUUAAAUGCUUAAAACUAAAAAUAUUUACAUCCAUAUACCAAUUUUUAUAACAAAUUUCUCCGUAAGGUUUCGAGCUCCAAUUUUUUUAUCUCGUGGUCUAAUUCCCGUGUUGAUUGUUGGAUGCGGUGCUUUUCCACCUUAAUAGCAACCAGCUUUUCCUGUAGUGCCAGCAUUUUUUCUUGUGCUGCUACUAACCUAUCAAGCUUCUGGUCUAUGCCUUUUUGAAAAGCCGAUAGCGACAUCAUGUUUUGUUGAAGUAACUCCAACUUCUCGUCACUCCUACUUUUUCUCCUCGGUCUGCGUGGAGUUUUUUCUGUUGCUAUUGUUGUGGCGAGUAGCGACUGUGUGGGAGUUGUUGGGCCUGGUAAGGAGCUGGGGAAAGAGCUUGUCUCCUCAUCACUGCUAUCACAGUUAACGAUAAACGUCGAAGCUUGCGUAGUUGGGUUAUUUCCAAAUGCAGAAACAUUUGUUAUGCCCUCUACGCAAGCUUCGAGUCCAGCUGCUUCGAUUAGCAGUUCGUCCGUCGAAGUGAUCAAUUUUUCAUUAUAGGGCCCUCCACCAGUUCGCUGCUUUGAUGCCUUAUUGAAGGAAAGUUUUUUUUUUGCUUGGUAUUUUUGAUCAGCAAAAACCUAAAAAAAUCAUAAAAAAUUUAUAUUUUAUCAAAAUAUAUUGCAUAUAAAUUAUAUACAUA